rnacentral:rRNA from 1 species
AACAGACGAGGAGCUUGCUUCUCUGACGUUAGCGGCGGACGGGUGAGUAACACGUGGAUAACCUACCUAUAAGACUGGGAUAACUUCGGGAAACCGGAGCUAAUACCGGAUAAUAUAUUGAACCGCAUGGUUCAAUAGUGAAAGACGGUUUUGCUGUCACUUAUAGAUGGAUCCGCGCCGCAUUAGCUAGUUGGUAAGGUAACGGCUUACCAAGGCAACGAUGCGUAGCCGACCUGAGAGGGUGAUCGGCCACACUGGAACUGAGACACGGUCCAGACUCCUACGGGAGGCAGCAGUAGGGAAUCUUCCGCAAUGGGCGAAAGCCUGACGGAGCAACGCCGCGUGAGUGAUGAAGGUCUUCGGAUCGUAAAACUCUGUUAUUAGGGAAGAAUAAAUGUGUAAGUAACUAUGCACGUCUUGACGGUACCUAAUCAGAAAGCCACGGCUAACUACGUGCCAGCAGCCGCGGUAAUACGUAGGUGGCAAGCGUUAUCCGGAAUUAUUGGGCGUAAAGCGCGCGUAGGCGGUUUUUUAAGUCUGAUGUGAAAGCCCACGGCUCAACCGUGGAGGGUCAUUGGAAACUGGAAAACUUGAGUGCAGAAGAGGAAAGUGGAAUUCCAUGUGUAGCGGUGAAAUGCGCAGAGAUAUGGAGGAACACCAGUGGCGAAGGCGACUUUCUGGUCUGUAACUGACGCUGAUGUGCGAAAGCGUGGGGAUCAAACAGGAUUAG